rfam:Gossypium raimondii Chr10_contig_31, whole genome shotgun sequence.
UGUUAAAAAAUUUCAUUCAUUUUCACUGCUAAAAAUUGACGUGGCUGACGAAAUAACCAUAUAGUUACACAUGUUGUGCCACGUAUAGCUCAUGCUGAUGUACGUGGACCAACUUUUAAAAAUAAAAUUGAUGAAAUUUUUAACG